GACGAACGCUGGCGGCGUGCUUAACACAUGCAAGUCGAACGGAAAGGCCCUGCUUUUGUGGGGUGCUCGAGUGGCGAACGGGUGAGUAACACGUGAGUAACCUACUCUUUACUUUGGGAUAACUUCAGGAAUCUGGGGCUAAUACCUGAUAGGAGCUCCUGCUGCAUGGUGGGGGUUGGAAUGUUUCGGCGGUUGGGGAUGGACUCGCGGCUUGUCUGCUUGGUGGUGGGGUAGUGGCUUACCAAGGCUUUGACGCGUAGCCGGCCUGGGAGGGUGACCGGCCAAGUUAGGCCGGGAAUGAGGCACGGACUCCUCCGGGAGGCAGCGGAGGAGAAUAGUGCACUAUGGGAGGGAGGCUACUGCGGCAAAGCCGCGUGCGGGGUGACGACAAUCGGGUUGUAAUGCGAAUUCGCCUGUGACGGAGCGUGGGUGACGGUAAUGGGAAAAGAAGCACCGGCUAACUACGUG
rnacentral:rRNA from 1 species